AUCUCACGAAUGUCUCCAUUAGAAUUUGUGUAAAAUAGAUCUUAACAAUGUCACAAACUGAGCAUACAUUUCCUAAAAGUCAGUAUUACUGAAAAUUUUAUUAUUCAAGAUUACUGAAAAAUCUACAUUAAUUUUACAGCUUCAUACUCUUAACAAUUUUCUCAUUUGUUUCUAUUUUUAUUUGUAAGCAAGAGACUUGCUUGAUGAAGUCUUUGGCAAAUACCUAGAGUGAACCUGAGAUAUUUCACAAACUACUUCCUUGAGGAUCAGCGUAAGUUUCUGUUUCCAAGUAAAACAUCAUAAACAAAACACGAAUCAGAAAAUGUCAGACGAUAACCUGACCCUAUCUUCAUCAUUAUUAUAAGUACAAAAACAAAUGGCACACAGAGGAGGUUCACCAAUUUUAUACAAUUAAAUGCUGUUUAAACAAAGUGAAAAUGAGCUUUCAAAAUAAGCUUUUCUUUCAUUCUACUGACAAAAUCAAAACAGAAAACAGAACUGAUAAAAGCAGUCACGUGAGGGUUGUUUGUUUUAAACUAGUAUGACCAGAUGCUUGAUGGGUUUGUACACAUUAAGAUCAUUCAUGUUGUUCUCAUCUUUCAUUCAACACUUCCUCACUAUUCUGUUCAUCAGCUCAAUUUAGUUUUCCAGCUCUAAACUGAGUUGAUCUAAGUGUUCAUCUGUGUGACCUAUCUGAUCUAUAUCUGUCUUGUACGUGGCGUGAAUAAGAGUCAUCAGGAACAUGCCACAGACCCUGAAUAAUUUCUCCAAGCUGAGAGAUUCCAAGUUUGGGAGGCCAGAUCCCAGACAUGGCCUCAGAUUAUUGUGGUGGUUUGCUCAUGAAUAUGUUCGCAUUGACUCCAAUGGUCUAUAUGUGCUGCAUGACCCAGCGGAUGGACAUUUUGGCUUCCAUCGUUUUAAAAAUGUAGAGAGAAUUCUUCCUAUUAACCAGGAAUACUACGAGACAGGCAACCUCAGCAGGUCUUCAGACCUACCUCAUUAUGUCACUGAAAAGUACACAGGAAAUUCAGAUGCCAGCAACACAGAUCGCAUCAUUGUUUCUGUAUGGUCAAGAUUGAAUGGUAAAAUCUUGUUAAAUGAUGUUUAUGUGACUCAGCAUUUAAACCACAGACUGGAGUUUGACCCAAAUCGCACCUACCGCAUCAGUCCAGAACUCAUUAGAGAGAUUAAAAACUUGGACAGAUCAGAAUUCCUCGGACAACCAAAGAGGGACCAGAAUUCUUUCUCAGUACGGAUUGAACCCCCUCAGGUUGUAACCAAUCAGCAGCAGUCGUCACCAUCUAGAGGAAAUUGUUGUGGUUGUAAAAUGAUCUGUGCUGUGGCGUGUGGUAUACUUCUUCUAGUUUUUAUUGUUUUUAUGCUUGUUUUAUUUCUGGUGCAAAGGUCUACAUGAGCCUACAUAAAUAGCAAAUCUUUUAUUUAUUUUCUUAAGUAUUUAGUUGUAAAUAGUUUUUUUAGUGUGUUUGUAUAGAAGGUUUAUGGAUAAAUCACUUUUUUAAAAGACACUUUGGAUUAAGGCAUCUUCUGAUCAGUGGUUCUGCUAUGAAAAGGGUCAUGGAAAGCAGAGAGAUAACAGGGCUUAAUGCAAAUGUUUUGUGCCCUGAUUGGCGCACCAAACAGGGUUUGUUUCAUUUGCAAAACAAUCUAUAUUUUUCAUACUGUUUUGCUUUAUAUAUAUAAAAAGCUUUUACGGCUACUUAGCGUUAUUUAGUGUUUAAAAAUUACCAAUGUAUACAUACACUUUGUGUAUAAAUUGUGUAUAUAUUAAAGGUGCACUGUGUAACUUUUAGAAGGAUCUUUUGACAAAAAUGCAAUAUAAUAUAACUAACUAUUUUAUCAGUGGUGUUUAAAGACCUUAUGUAAUGAACUGUAUUGUUUUUAUUACAUUAAAAUGAGCCGCUUUUAUCUGCAAACACCGCUGGUCUCUGUUCUUUACAUACCUGCAGAAUCAUUAUAGUCGCA